rnacentral:rRNA from 1 species
AGGGAAUAUUGCACAAUGGAGGAAACUCUGAUGCAGCGAUGCCGCGUGAGUGAAGAAGGCCUUUGGGUUGUAAAGCUCUUUCGUCGGGGAAGAAAAUGACUGUACCCGAAUAAGAAGGUCCGGCUAACUUCGUGCCAGCAGCCGCGGUAAUACGAAGGGACCUAGCGUAGUUCGGAAUUACUGGGCUUAAAGAGUUCGUAGGUGGUUAAAAAAGUUGGUUGUGAAAUCCCGAAGCUUAACUUCGGAACUGCAAUCAAAACUUUUUAGCUAGAGUUUGAUAGAGGAAAGCAGAAUUUCUAGUGUAGAGGUGAAAUUCGUAGAUAUUAGAAAGAAUACCGAUUGCGAAGGCA